GGGGAAUAUUGGACAAUGGACCAAAAGUCUGAUCCAGCAAUUCUGUGUGCACGAUGACGUUUUUCGGAAUGUAAAGUGCUUUCAGUUGGGAAGAAAAAAAUGACGGUACCAACAGAAGAAGUGACGGCUAAAUACGUGCCAGCAGCCGCGGUAAUACGUAUGUCACAAGCGUUAUCCGGAUUUAUUGGGCGUAAAGCGCGUCUAGGUGGUUAUGUAAGUCUGAUGUGAAAAUGCAGGGCUCAACUCUGUAUUGCGUUGGAAACUGCAUGACUAGAGUACUGAAGAGGUAAGCGGAACUACAAGUGUAGAGGUGAAAUUCGUAGAUAUUUGUAGGAAUGCCGAUGGGGAAGCCAGCUUACUGGACAGAUACUGACGCUAAAGCGCGAAAGCGUGGGUAGCAAACAGGAUUAGAUACCCUGGUAGUCCACGCCGUAAACGAUGAUUACUAGGUGUUGGGGGUCGAACCUCAGCGCCCAAGCUAACGCGAUAAGUAAUCCGCCUGGGGAGUACGUACGCAAGUAUG
rnacentral:rRNA from 1 species